UCAAAGGCAAAGAAGAGAAAGAGUACCACGGCAAUUCUUUCUACAGAGAGCUCCGGUCGCUGAAAAGGAGUAAAGAAAAACCUUGGGAAUAUGGUCUCAGAGCUGCGCAUCGAAACCUUUUGGGUUGUAGGCUGCGCCGGAACCUGCAUCCGUUACAGUGCUAGGGUAUAAACGUUUAUUAACGUCGUACCUGAAGAGGUAAAUGUCAUGAGGCAUUUAUAAAAUUAGGUGGUAACACGUGAGUAGAACUCUCGUCCUUUGU
rnacentral:ncRNA from 1 species